UACAGAGGGUGCGAGCGUUGUCCGGAAUCACUGGGCGUAAAGGGCGUGUAGGUGGUUUCGUAAGUCUGGCGUGAAAUUUUUCGGCUUAACCGGGAAAGGUCGUCGGAUACUGCGGAGCUAGAGGACGGUAGAGGCGUGUGGAAUUCCGGGUGUAGUGGUGAAAUGCGUAGAGAUCCGGAGGAACACCAGUGGCGAAGGCGACACGCUGGGCCGUACCUGACACUGAUGCGCGACAGCAUGGGGAGCAAACAGG
rnacentral:rRNA from 1 species